GUUUUUGGGAACGAUUUAUCCAUGCUGAUCGUCGAGUUCCACUCGUGGCGAAUAGCUCAAUAACCCGUGGCCAAACUACCCUUCGGAACACAAUACCCUCGGGAAACUGAGGCUAAUAGUGUAUACCAUACCACCACUGGAAUGAGUGGUAUGCCAAACGCUCCGUCUCCGAAAGAUGUGGCUGCGGCCGAUUAGGUAGACGGUGGGGUAACGGCCCACCGUGCCAAUAAUCGGUAUGGGUCAUGAGAGUGAGAACCCAGAGACGGAAUCUGACACAAGAUUCCGGGCCCUGCGGGGCGG
rnacentral:rRNA from 1 species